UACGUAGGUCCCGAGCGUUGUCCGGAUUUAUUGGGCGUAAAGCGAGCGCAGGUGGUUUAUUAAGUCUGGUGUAAAAGGCAGUGGCUCAACCAUUGUAUGCAUUGGAAACUGGUUGACUUGAGUGCAGAAGAGGGAAGUGGAAUUCCAUGUGUAGCGGUGAAAUGCGUAGAGAUAUGGAGGAACACCAGUGGCGAAGGCGGCUUCCGGGUCUGCAACUGACACUGAGGCGCGAAAGCGUGGGGAGCAAACAGG
rnacentral:rRNA from 1 species